CGCAGCCCCAGAGACCGACCCCACUGAGCUGCCCUCCACAGUCCCAGAGCCCGGCUCCACCGAGCCGCCCCCCACGGCCCCAGAGCCUGGCCCCCCCAGUUUGGCCUCUCCCACCCCUGCUGAGCUGCCCAUUCCCCUGGAGUUGCCACUCAGUGCCCUGGAGUUGGCUGUGGUUAGCAGGAUGUGGCUGGCGAGGAAGCAGGCGUGGCAAAGUGCGCGGGCACCGCUGCAGAAUAUCCUGUGGGAGCUACAGAAGCUGGCAGGCCAGGCUGGAUUGCAGGAGCAGCUGGAGGAGGCGCUGUCCCAUCUGCUGCAGGAGAAUCAGGCCCUGCGGGCUGAGCUGGCACUGUGGCAAUCCCACACUCGAGAGGAAUGUACCACACCUGCCACUGGAGACAGACAACACCAGGGGACCUCAGCCACCCCCGCUCCAGUGCCCCUAGGGGAUAGAAGCCAGGGGGACCUUACUUAUGUUCUCCAGACUGCCUGGCUGGGGGUGCGGGAUGCCCAGACCCAGACAGAGGGGCCAGCACGGGGCAGGCGCCACAGGGAGCUUAUCUCGGCGGCCUUCGACCACACUCAGUAUGAGCCCUAUGGGCUGCCUGAGGUCGUCAUGAAAGGUUUUGCCGACAUCCCCUCCGGCCCCUCCUGCCCCUAUGUCCUUCGGAGGGGGCUCCUGGGCAGUACCCCCUUGGCCCAGCUGGCACCCAAAGCUGAGCCAGAGGAGGAUCCCGCUGAACCUGAUAUGGGCACCAGCAUCUGAGAGCAUCUACGCUGCUGGGUGAGCAACCCCUGUAUGCAUCCUUGAGCUCCACCCCAGAGGCAGCUGCAUCUUUGCACUGGGGGCAGCGAGAUGAUAAUUUCUGUGUUUCACAUUAUUUUCCAUUCUCUUUCCAGCCUGGAUGGCAGAAAUGUUCCCCCCCACCCCAGCUACAAAGAUCCCUGAUGUUGCCUGGAGCUCCCCAGCUGCUAUGUGGCACUUUAUGGCUGAGAAGGGGAGUCCUUCUCCCCUUCCCUCCACAGAUGGACAUGUGUAACCCUCUGGGAUUUAUUUUACAACCUGGCUUCCUCAAGGUGCUAAAAAUUGUGGGUGCUACAGCUUAGUGGGCUGACAGCUGCUCAAUGCCCCACUCCCUGCACACAAGGAAUGGGGGGGCUCAAUUAAUGGGGUUAAUUGGAAUCUCUGCCCCCCCCACAGACACACAGCUUGAAGGGAAUUAAACCCUCUAUUCAUGGCUCAGGGAAUCAAAGGGCGGGUUGUGUCCACCCACCCAAACUUUGGAGGAGCUGCUAUGUUGAGUCAUCCCCACCCCCCCGAGAGGGGCUCAGCAGAAUUUCCUCAAAGAGAGGGGGUGCAGCACAGGGAGUCUUUCCCCCCACACACCCGCCCCAGCUCUGGGGUUUAUAUGUAACUCUGUCUCCCCCAGCCCCAAUAAAGUUCCUUGCCUCAGCUUCA
rnacentral:lncRNA from 1 species